UACGAAGGGGGCUAGCGUUGCUCGGAAUCACUUGGCGUAAAGCGCACGUAGGCGGCUUGUUAAGUCAGGGGUGAAAUCCUGGAGCUCAACUCCAGAACUGCCUUUGAUACUGGCGAUCUCGAGUCCGGGAGAGGUGAGUGGAACUGCGAGUGUAGAGGUGAAAUUCGUAGAUAUUCGCAAGAACACCAGUGGCGAAGGCGGCUCACUGGCCCGGUACUGACGCUGAGGUGCGAAAGCGUGGGGAGCAAACAGG
rnacentral:rRNA from 1 species